CGUAGACCAGCUAGACAAGACCAAGUUUCCAUGCAGCGAGGUCACUGAAGGUGGCAACCGCUGACUCUGGGGAAGUGGGGAAGGGAGUCCACCUGAGGUGACACAAGUGGACUCCUGGAGACACUGAUCCGGGGAAGGCACCGCUGACUCUGGGGAAGUGGGGAAGGGAGUCCACUCAGGUGACACAAGUGGACUCCUGGAGACACUGAUCCGGGGAAGGCACCGCCGACCUUAGGGAAAUGGGGAAGGGAAGACAUCCGGAGCGAGCGGAUGGAUUCCUGGAUACAUGAACUUGAGGAAGGUUGUUGUUGAGGCUGACCUUGGGUAAGUGGGGAAGGGGAGACAUCCGGAGCGAGCGGAUGGAUUCCUGGAUACAUGAACCUGAGCAAGGCAAGAAUACAUGCAGUUGAGGCUGACCUUGGGUAAGUGGGGAAGGGAAGAUAUCCGGCGGUAGACGGAAGGAUUCCUGGAUACAUGAUCCUGGGAAUGGCAAGAAUACCGCUGACCUUGGGGAAGUGGGAAAGGGAGUCCACUCAGGUGACAUAAGUGGACUCCUGGAGACACUGAUCCGGGGAAGGCACCGCCGACCUUAGGGAAAUGGGGAAGGGAAGACAUCCGGAGCGAGCGGAUGGAUUCCUGGAUACAUGAACUUGAGGAAGGUUGUUGUUGAGGCUGACCUUGGGUAA